GCGUGGGUGGUUUAAUGGGUGAGCAUGAUUCCUUCUCGUCCAAUUACGUCCCAGCUAAUACCCCCUAGUAAAAUCCGUGCUUGCCAUACAGCAGGUUGCACGGGCUCCGAGUUCGAUUCUCGGUCCACGCA